AAAAAAAUUAUAUUUUAAAGAGAAAUUUAAAAUCAUAAUAAUGAAUUUAUAUCAAUAUUUCACUCGUAUUCGUAUAAGAAAUUGUGCAGUCUAUGCACAAGUUUUGUCAAGAUUCUACAAAAGCGAUACAAAAACUAUGCAAUAUCCUACAGCAGGAAUAAUCGUUAUUGGAGAUGAAAUAUUGAAAGCACAAGUGAAAGAUACAAAUUCCUAUUACAUGUGUAAUUUAUUAUAUAACUGUGGUAUUAAAGUUAAGAAGAUCUCUGUCAUAAGUGACGAUGUUGAAGAAAUUUCGAAAGAAAUUAGAGAUGCUUCUAAUAAAUACACAUAUGUUAUAACAUCUGGUGGAGUUGGACCAACACAUGAUGAUGUUACAUACGAAGGUCUCGCCAAAGCUUUCAAUGAUACACUAUAUUAUCACCCCAAACUGGUGAAUAUAAUAAAACAUCACUUUGGAGAUGACAAUGCUUCUUCUCCUGCUUAUAAAAUGGCUAAGAUUCCUCAGAAAGCAUCUUUAAAUUUUGGUUUAAAUCCAGCUAAACCAAACACUUAUCCAUAUAUUGUACUAGAAAAUGUAUAUGUCUUUCCUGGUUCACCUGUAUUUUUUCAGAAAUCUUUCCAAAGUUUAUAUAAGGAGUUACUCUCCACAAAUAGAAGAUUUGUGAAAGAAGAGGUGUUUAUUAAUGCUAGGGAAGAAUCAUUUGCAAAUGCUUUAUCAACUGUAGUAAAGGAAUUUCCCAAUGUUUCCUUUGGUUCCUAUCCAGUAAGCAAUAGCAGGUAUUUUAAAGCAUUCGUAACUAUAGAGAGUGAUAACGAGAACAAUACCGAAAGAGCAAAACGGCGAUUUUAUGAGCUAAAUCCUGUAAAUAUUUUUGUCAAUUUUGAUCGGACGCCGCAUGUAGACUGUGUCACAAAAUACAAUAAAUUUCUUCAAAAUUGUUCACGUCGAUCGACUUACGAGCAGACGCUCGAAAAGCUUAGACAGGUAUAUCGGAAUUCCGAACAUGUUUCGAUACGUAUCGACGGUAGCAUAGAAUCGAGCAUCGUUAUUCAUCUCGCGUACAUAUGUAAAACUCAAUUGCAUUCAAAUAAUAAGUUGCAAGUGGUUCAUUUCAAGGAAAAACAGAUGUCGAUUAACAUAGAAGAAUUCGUCAAAGAAAUGAUUGACAAAUAUAAUUUAGCAGCGUGUACCGUGGAAUCCGCGCCUGACAAAAGGAUAGACGAAUUAAUAUCCAUGCGACCACACUUACAAACAUUGCUAGUCGGAGAAGCUGGCGAAAAUGUAGUUGAUUAUAACAGUAACGCGAACCAAUUGCAAAUCAAUAAUCCUUUGCGUAACUGGACGAAGGAAGACGUGUGGAUUUUCGCCUCAUCGUUGUGUCUACCAUACAAUUUGACUACUUGAAAACAAAAACGAUGUGCUAUGAAGCGUGAACGUUGCAUACAAUCAAGGAACGUUGCAGUAGCAACACAGUAAUAAAACAUUGCUAAGGUUUGGAUUCAGCAUCAUGUCCGCAAUUGCAGUCAGUGAUUUGUGAAGUCAUGUAAAAUUCAGCAGCGACGGUGUCGUUUUGAAAUAAAAUUGAAAUGUGAAAUGGAAAUAAAAGUAUUUAACGAAAUACGAGGUAUAUUUUAAUGA
rnacentral:misc_RNA from 1 species